rnacentral:rRNA from 1 species
GAUCAUGGCUCAGGAUAAACGCUGGCGGCGCACAUAAGACAUGCAAGUCGAACGGACUUAAUCUUAAUAUUUAUAUUGAGAAGCGGUUAGUGGCGGACUGGUGAGUAACGCGUAAGCAAUCUACCUAUUAGAGGGGAAUAACAGUGAGAAAUCAUUGUUAAUACCGCAUAUGCCAUAAGAAUCACAUGGUUCUAGUGGGAAAGGAGCAAUCCGCUAAUAGAUGAGCUUGCGUCUGAUUAGCUAGUUGGUGGGGUAAUGGCCUACCAAGGCAACGAUCAGUAGCCGGACUGAGAGGUUGAACGGCCACAUUGGGACUGAGAUACGGCCCAGACUCCUACGGGAGGCAGCAGUCGGGAAUAUUGCGCAAUGGAGGAAAACCUCUGACGCAGUGACGCCGCGUAUAGGAAGAAGGUUUUCGGAUUGUAAACUAUUGUCGUUAGGGAAGAUAAAAGACAGUACCUAAGGAGGAAGCUCCGGCUAACUACGUGCCAGCAGCGGC